UGUUGAUUUAUGAUUUUUACUGCUUGUUUAUUAUGUACAUGGCCAUAUCACUCUCUGUUAUUCUGUGGAUUUUGUUUGCUACAAUGCGGGUACCCUUGGGGGGUGUGUGUGUGUGUUGUGUGGUUUGUCCUUGACUCCGGAGUGUAUACUAAUUUUUUAUGUGUGCGAUUUCUGUCAAUGCCUAGUACUUAGUGUUGCAACAUUUCUUUUCUCCUUUGUUUUGUAUCUGUCCUGUUCUUGUUGCCCAGAGCUGUUAGUCACCCACGCUCAUCCAUUCCGGUCCGUGGUCACCAUCCCGGGUGCACGGACCAUUGUGACUAGUCUACGUUUUGGGAAGACGACCGGAUCUCCCGUGGCAGUCGAGCACUGUAGACUUUCCUACUUUUUCU